rnacentral:rRNA from 1 species
AUUGAACGCUGGCGGCAGGCCUAACACAUGCAAGUCGAACGAGUGGCGGACGGGUGAGUAAUGUCUGGGAAACUGCCCGAUGGAGGGGGAUAACUACUGGAAACGGUAGCUAAUACCGCAUACCAUCGGAUGUGCCCAGAUGGGAUUAACUAGUAGGUGGAGUAACGGCUCCUCUAGGCGACGAUCCCUAGCUGGUCUGAGAGGAUGAACAGCCACGCUGAAGCUGAGCCACGGUCCAAGCACCUACGGGAGGCAGAAGUGGGGAAUAUUGCACAAAGGGCACAAGCCUGAUGCAGCCAUGACGCGUGGAUGAAGAAGGCAUUCGGGUUGUAAAGUACUUUCAGCGAGGGGGCGUUACUCGCAGAAGAAGCGCCGGCUAACUCCGUGCCAGCAGCCGCGGUAAUAC